GUGGGGAAUAUUGGACAAUGGGCGGAAGCCUGAUCCAGCAACGCCGCGUGAGGGAUGACGGCCUUCGGGUUGUAAACCUCUUUCAGUACCGACGAAGCGCAAGUGACGGUAGGUACAGAAGAAGGACCGGCCAACUACGUGCCAGCAGCCGCGGUAAUACGUAGGGUCCGAGCGUUGUCCGGAAUUAUUGGGCGUAAAGGGCUCGUAGGCGGUUUGUCGCGUCGGGAGUGAAAACUUGGGGCUUAACCCCAUUCGUGCUUCCGAUACGGGCAGACUAGAGGCAGGCAGGGGAGAACGGAAUUCCUGGUGUAGCGGUGGAAUGCGCAGAUAUCAGGAGGAACACCGGUGGCGAAGGCGGUUCUCUGGGCCUGUUCUGACGCUGAGGAGCGAAAGCAUGGGGAGCGAACAGGAUUAGAAACCCUAGUAGUCC
rnacentral:rRNA from 1 species